CAGGACGAACGCUGGCGGCGUGCCUAAUACAUGCAAGUCGAACGGUCUUUCUAUGGAAGCUUGCUUCCACUGAGAAGAUAGUGGCGAACGGGUGAGUAACACGUGGGUAACCUGCCCAUGAGAGGGGGAUAACAUCCGGAAACGGUAGCUAAUACCGCAUAAUGUCGCAAGACCAAAGAGGGGGACCUUCGGGCCUCUUGCCAUCGGAUGUGCCCAGAUGGGAUUAGCUUGUUGGUGAGGUAACGGCUCACCAAGGCGACGAUCCCUAGCUGGUCUGAGAGGAUGACCAGCCACACUGGAACUGAGACACGGUCCAGACUCCUACGGGAGGCAGCAGUGGGGAAUAUUGCACAAUGGGCGCAAGCCUGAUGCAGCCAUUGCCGCGUGUAUGAAGAAGGCCUUCGGGUUGUAAAGUACUUUCAGCGGGGAGGAAGGGGUUAAGGUUAAUAACCUUAGCCAUUGACGUUACCCGCAGAAGAAGCACCGGCUAACUCCGUGCCAGCCGCAGC
rnacentral:rRNA from 1 species